GGAGAGGUGUCCGAGUGGUCGAAGGUGACAGACUCGAAAUCUGUUGUAGUGAAAGCUACCGUGGGUUCGAAUCCCACCCUCUCCGCCA
rnacentral:tRNA from 1 species